UGAACAGGAUGCAGAAUAGUAAAAAGAUGGUUUAUCUCCUACCCUUUUCCUCCCAUCUUGUAACGAUACAAGUAGAACAG